UACGAAGGAGGCUAGCGUUGCUCGGAAUGACUGGGCGUAAAGGGCGCGUAGGCGGCUUACAUAGUUAGGCGUGAAAUUCCUGGGCUCAACCUGGGGACUGCGUCUAAUACAUGUAGGCUUGAGUGUGAAAGAGGGUCGUGGAAUUUCCAGUGUAGAGGUGAAAUUCGUAGAUAUUGGAAAGAACACAGGUGGCGAAGGUGGCGACCUGGUUCAUUACUGACGCUGAGGCGCGAAAGCGUGGGGAGCAAACAGG
rnacentral:rRNA from 1 species